rnacentral:lncRNA from 10 species
AUGAGAUAGUGUGAUCGUGAUGUUUAGCACGGUACUUGGUGAACAACAGAGACUGAGAUCUGGAGAAAGUCAAGCGUUUAAUUGCAGCGGAGCUGGGGCAGGAAGUCAAGGAGACUGUGGGGAAAGCUUUUACGUCAACACGUCUUCCAUGAAAACUGCUCCUUAAAGAGCCAAUCAUCAGAAAGAGAAAACAACAAGAAGCGGGAGCUCAUUUUCAGGCUGACUACACAGGAGUGCUUCAAAGCGACCUCCCUGAAUUUUGCUUUUCCUUCCACCCACACUGCUUUCUCUCCUUUUUCUACGUUCACAUGUGACUUCAAUACUACUUCCCUUAGUACUUUGUAAUAAAUUAC